UGGUAAUGGUGAGAGGUUAGUAUGUUUUGUUGUAGUCUCUGUUAUUGGUAAUGGUGAGAGGUUAGCAUGUUUUGUUGUAGUCUCUGUUAUUGGUAAUGGUGAGAGGUUAGCAUGUUUUGUUGUAGUCUCUGUUAUUGGUAAUGGUGAGAGGUUAGCAUGUUUUGUUGUAGCCUCUGUUAUUGGUAAUGGUGAGAGGUUAGUAUGUUUUGUUGUAGUCUCUGUUAUUGGUAAUGGUGAGAGGUUAGCAUGUUUUGUUGUAGCCUCUGUUAUUGGUAAUGGUGAGAGGUUAGCAUGUUUUGUUGUAGUCUCUGUUAUUGGUAAUGGUGAGAGGUUAGUAUGUUUUGUUGUAGUCUCUGUUAUUGGUAAUGGUGAGAGGUUAGUAUGUUUUGUUGUAGUCUCUGUUAUUGGUAAUGGUGAGAGGUUAGCAUGUUUUGUUGUAGUCUCUGUUAUUGGUAAUGGUGAGAGGUUAGCAUGUUUUGUUGUAGUCUCUGUUAUUGGUAAUGGUGAGAGGUUAGCAUGUUUUGUUGUAGCCUCUGUUAUUGGUAAUGGUGAGAGGUUAGUAUGUUUUGUUGUAGUCUCUGUUAUUGGUAAUGGUGAGAGGUUAGCAUGUUUUGUUGUAGCCUCUGUUAUUGGUAAUGGUGAGAGGUUAGCAUGUUUUGUUGUAGCCUCUGUUAUUGGUAAUGGUGAGAGGUUAGUAUGUUUUGUUGUAGUCUCUGUUAUUGGUAAUGGUGAGAGGUUAGCAUGUUUUGUUGUAGCCUCUGUUAUUGGUAAUGGUGAGA